AUAUUCAAUAAUAAAUAAAAAAUACUAAAUCAACUAAGAUAAUUACCUCUAAGACUUACUAAGACUCUAUUUCUUCUCCACUAAUACUAUUCUCCUUUAUUUAACAUCUUCUAAGCACAUCUUCAUUUAACAAUUGUAAUUUUGGCACUCUAAAUGCAUUCUUUUGUUCUAAAACAACUAGUGAAUUAAAUUGAUGACUUACAAUAAUGAUUUGAUUUGCUCUUUCAGCAACUCUAAUUUAUUGAAGAGUGUAAGGAGUGGAAUUUUAUCUUGGUAUACCUUGAAUCUUCAAAAAUUAUCAAAAUUAUUUGAUAUGUACUCACUUUUAUUAUCCAUGUGCAAUACGUUGAUCUUACAUUUAUAUUACUUUUAUAUAAAUACUUUAAAUUUCUUACAUCUUAAAAAAUAGUCACUCUUAGAUUUGAGGAUAAAAAUCCACUCUUUUUGAAAAAAAGAUCAUCAAUAAAUGUGGUAAAGUAUCUUGCUUCUCCAUUUGAUGGUGUAUUUAUUGGUUCUCAUACAUCUAAAUGCAUAAUCUCCAACAACUUGCUUGCAUGUAUU
rnacentral:lncRNA from 1 species